AUCCCUCAAAAACCUUACUUUCCUUAUAAAACCUUCCUCCAAAUAAGUUCAUUUAUCUUAAUUACAUUAAAAAAUCGUACUCUAUCCCCAAAAACUUGUGUAAGUUUUAGGGUUUACGAUCAAAUUAUAGACGUUAUAUUCACAAUUCUUUCUCGUUACCAUCAACUAAUAUUAGUUUGAUUUUUCUUUAUAUCAUAAGCAAUGGUUCAAUGUCCAUUGUUCUCUCUCUCAGUCAG
rnacentral:misc_RNA from 1 species